UUGAAGAGUUUGAUCAUGGCUCAGAUUGAACGCUGGCGGCAGGCCUAACACAUGCAAGUCGAGCGGUAGCACAGAGAGCUUGCUCUGACGAGCGGCGGACGGGUGAGUAAUGUCUGGGAAACUGCCUGAUGGAGGGGGAUAACUACUGGAAACGGUAGCUAAUACCGCAUAACGUCGCAAGACCAAAGUGGGGGACCUUCGGGCCUCAUGCCAUCAGAUGUGCCCAGAUGGGAUUAGCUAGUAGGUGGGGUAACGGCUCACCUAGGCGACGAUCCCUAGCUGGUCUGAGAGGAUGACCAGCCACACUGGAACUGAGACACGGUCCAGACUCCUACGGGAGGCAGCAGUGGGGAAUAUUGCACAAUGGGCGCAAGCCUGAUGCAGCCAUGCCGCGUGUGUGAAGAAGGCCUUCGGGUUGUAAAGCACUUUCAGCGGGGAGGAAGGCGGUGAGGUUAAUAACCUCAUCGAUUGACGUUACCCGCAGAAGAAGCACCGGCUAACUCCGUGCCAGCAGCCGCGGUAAUACGGAGGGUGCAAGCGUUAAUCGGAAUUACUGGGCGUAAAGCGCACGCAGGCGGUCUGUCAAGUCGGAUGUGAAAUCCCCGGGCUUAACCUGGGAACUGCAUUCGAAACUGGCAGGCUAGAGUCUUGUAGAGGGGGGUAGAAUUCCAGGUGUAGCGGUGAAAUGCGUAGAGAUCUGGAGGAAUACCGGUGGCGAAGGCGGCCCCCUGGACAAAGACUGACGCUCAGGUGCGAAAGCGUGGGGAGCAAACAGGAUUAGAUACCCUGGUAGUCCACGCCGUAAACGAUGUCGAUUUGGAGGUUGUGCCCUUGAGGCGUGGCUUCCGGAGCUAACGCGUUAAAUCGACCGCCUGGGGAGUACGGCCGCAAGGUUAAAACUCAAAUGAAUUGACGGGGGCCCGCACAAGCGGUGGAGCAUGUGGUUUAAUUCGAUGCAACGCGAAGAACCUUACCUGGUCUUGACAUCCACAGAACUUUCCAGAGAUGGAUUGGUGCCUUCGGGAACUGUGAGACAGGUGCUGCAUGGCUGUCGUCAGCUCGUGUUGUGAAAUGUUGGGUUAAGUCCCGCAACGAGCGCAACCCUUAUCCUUUGUUGCCAGCGGUCCGGCCGGGAACUCAAAGGAGACUGCCAGUGAUAAACUGGAGGAAGGUGGGGAUGACGUCAAGUCAUCAUGGCCCUUACGACCAGGGCUACACACGUGCUACAAUGGCAUAUACAAAGAGAAGCGACCUCGCGAGAGCAAGCGGACCUCAUAAAGUAUGUCGUAGUCCGGAUUGGAGUCUGCAACUCGACUCCAUGAAGUCGGAAUCGCUAGUAAUCGUAGAUCAGAAUGCUACGGUGAAUACGUUCCCGGGCCUUGUACACACCGCCCGUCACACCAUGGGAGUGGGUUGCAAAAGAAGUAGGUAGCUUAACCUUCGGGAGGGCGCUUACCACUUUGUGAUUCAUGACUGGGGUGAAGUCGUAACAAGGUAACCGUAGGGGAACCUGCGGUUGGAUCACCUCCUU
rnacentral:rRNA from 1 species